GGGCCCCGCCGCCGCCGCCUGGGGUCUCUGGGAAAGGUAUGAGCCCGACCCUUCUCCCAACCCGCCUGGUUAACCCUUUCCGCGACGACGACCUGCGGCGGGACCAAGGGAAAAGAAAGGAGCCUUCUGCGUUUUAAUUGGGUCCCUGAUUAUUGCAAGAGUCAUACCAUUUAGAGAUUAGGAAUUCCAAAGAAUUACCCUGUUAAAUUUCUGGCUGCUUCACCACUUGCUCUGAACCUGAACGUCAUCUUGAAGCUGGCAGAGCUGCUUGAAGCAUUUCCCUUGUGCCCAACUAAGUCCACUGCUUAUUGCUGGCAAGGCUGUGGGACUGUGGCCACUACACUGAAUGGCGCCUGACUCCUCUUGCAGAAGUGAGAUUCUCUUGCAAAACUGAAAACUAUCGAGUGAAAUAAAACACAGCAAGUAAA